GCUAACACCGGGACAGCGGGAGCGGUAGUACGGAGGGUGCAAGCGGUAGUCGGAAGUACUGGGCGUAAAGGGUGCGUAGGUGGGGAUGUAAGUCAGAUGUGAAAUACCGUGGCUCAACAACGGCCGUGCAUCUGAAACUGCGUUUCUAGAGGGAUAGCGGAGAAAACGGAAUUCCACGUGUAGCGGUGAAAUGCGUAGAUAUGUGGAAGAACACCUGUGGCGAAAGCGGUUUUCUAGCUUAAACCUGACACUGAGGCACGAAAGCAAGGGGAGCAAACAGGAUUAGAUACCCGGGUAGUC
rnacentral:rRNA from 1 species